AGUGAACGCUGGCGGUAGGCCUAACACAUGCAAGUCGAACGGCAGCACAGUAAGAGCUUGCUCUUACGGGUGGCGAGUGGCGGACGGGUGAGGAAUACAUCGGAAUCUACUUUUUCGUGGGGGAUAACGUAGGGAAACUUACGCUAAUACCGCAUACGACCUACGGGUGAAAGCAGGGGAUCUUCGGACCUUGCGCGAUUGAAUGAGCCGAUGUCGGAUUAGCUAGUUGGCGGGGUAAAGGCCCACCAAGGCGACGAUCCGUAGCUGGUCUGAGAGGAUGAUCAGCCAGCUUGGAACUGAGGCACGGCCCAGACUCCUACGGGGAGCAACAGUGGGGAAUAUUGGACAAGGGGGGAAAGCCUGAUCCAGCCAUACCGGGGGGGGGAAGAAGGCCUUCGGGUUGGAAAGCCCUUUUGUUGGGAAAGAAAAGCAGCAGGUUAAUACCCCGCUGUUCUGACGGUACCCAAAGAAUAAGCACCGGCUAACUUCGUG
rnacentral:rRNA from 1 species